ACCUACGGGGCGCAGCAGUGGGGAAUAUUGCACAAUGGGGGGAACCCUGAUGCAGCGACGCCGCGUGAGUGAAGAAGUAUUUCGGUAUGUAAAGCUCUAUCAGCAGGGAAGAAGAUGACGGUACCUGACUAAGAAGCCCCGGCUAACUACGUGCCAGCAGCCGCGGUAAUACGUAGGGGGCAAGCGUUAUCCGGAUUUACUGGGUGUAAAGGGAGCGCAGACGGCAGGGCAAGUCUGGAGUGAAAGCCCGGGGCCCAACCCCGGUCCUGCUUUGGAACCUGCCAUG
rnacentral:rRNA from 1 species